CCUACGGGAGGCAGCAGUAGGGAAUUUUGCGCAAUGGGCGAAACCCUGACGCAGCAACACCGCGUGAAUGUUAAGCCCUUUGGGGUGUAAAGUUCUGUCAAUAGGAACGAAUAUUGACGGUACCUAUAAAGUAAGCACCGGCUAACUCCGUGCCAGCAGCCGCGGUAAUACGGGGGGUGCAAGCGUUGUUCGGAAUCAUUGGGCGUAAAGCGUUCGUAGGCGGGAAGGUAAGUCUGAUGUUAAAGCCCGGGGCUUAACACCGGUACGGCAUUGGAUACUAUCUAGCUAGAAUGUGGUAGAGGUAAAUGGAAUUCCUGGUGUAGCGGUGAAAUGCGUAGAUAUCAAGAGGAACAUCGGUUGCGAAAGCGCUUUACUGGACCAUUACUGACGCUGAGGAACGAAAGCCAGGGGAGCAAAUGGGAUUAGAUACCCGGGUAGUC
rnacentral:rRNA from 1 species